ACUUUUUUUUUUUUUUAAGGAGUAACAUGUUGCUUGUGAGAGAAAACAGAAUAUACAGGAAUGGAAAAUGCCUUUAGGCAGAAUCCGUUAGCCCCUAGGUUUGCCUUUCCUUUUCCUUGUUUCCUUUGGGAAAUGCAUAAAGUCUAUAUCCUUCAACAUAAUUUUGUAUCUCGACUUUAUCCAGAUCUUUCAGGUAUUUUUGAGUUGGUUCUUGCUUAGCCUUUCAUUUAAACCUCCAUGCUGUGUUGUUUUAUGUUUCAGUGUGUAAAGAAAGCCAUUUUAGAAGAUUUGCAGAAAGUUGGGAAAGAAGGUGGCCUUAAAUCCUUUGAGCAGGUCAAGAGCAUCUUUGUGCAUCCGGAGCCGUUCUCAAUUGAAAACGGGCUUCUGACACCGACACUGAAAGCCAAACGAGUGGAGCUUGCCAAGUUCUUCCAGACACAAAUCAAGAGCCUCUAUGAGAGCAUCGAAGAGUAACUUAAGUUGCUGAGCUGGAAGCGGUGGGGGACGAAGCGGAAACUAUGUCCAGCGAACUUUUCCAGUAAAUGAAGCAAUCACUAAAGGACUGUCCUGAGUUGGGAGCAAAGCAACGUGGACGAGCUCGAUGUGACGCCUGCACUGCAGGCGUCUUCUGUGAUGGAAGCUCUGGAUCUUUCUCCUUGGACUUCAGUCCCUGCAGUAUUUUGCUGCCAGAUAGCAUGUGGUGCCUCUACCUGUAAAUGUCAGAUCUUUGAAAUAAACUAUUACAGAU
rnacentral:lncRNA from 1 species